UAGUCCCGUGGGGUAGUGGCAAUCCUGAUGGGCUCUGGACCCAUCGACAGCGGUUCGACUCCGCUCGGGACUAU
rnacentral:tRNA from 1 species